UGCUGACAUCUAACCGUUCUGUUGGCGUUUCCUUGGGCGGAGCUCCAUCUAGUGGAGGCAUUGUAGAUUGCGUCUUAUAAUGCGGUGCGUCCAAUAUAUGAAAAAAAGUGACAAAAUAGGCCAUUCGUUGAAGGUGCUGACAUCUAACCGUUCUGUUGGCGUUUCCUUGAGCGUAGCUCCAUCUAGUGGAUGCAUUGUAGAUUGCGUCUUAUAAUGCGGUGCGUCCAAUAUAUGAAAAAAAUGACAAAAUAGGCCAUUCGUUGAAGGUGCGCCUCAUAAUCCAGUGCGCCUUUUAGUGUGGAAAAUAUGCUCAUGAAACAUGUUCUCAAGUGCUCUUCCAUCCACUCUCCGAGAGGUGUUGAUAUCCAAAAUGUAGUUCAUGCCCCAGUUAAUCCAACUUGAUGACUCCCAACGCUGCUGGCACGAGAUAAACAAGUUCCCAUCAAUUCUCCCCCGGGGGUCUUUUCCUUAUUGCUCCACCCUUGCAGUCGAAAGCCACUUGGCAAGCAGACUCGCCUUGUUGUCCCGGAGGCACUUCCUUGUAUGUUUGCCUGUCGCCCGAGUAACGUUGACAGUCGAGUGCGUUAGAUUUCAAGCGGGGAUAGACGUUGUGCUCGCAGCAGCCAAAAAAAAAAAAAAAAAAAUCUUGGGCCAUCAUGCUGCGUUCUAUUCUUCAAAACAAACACCUAAUCGUUGUCCCUGCCUUUGCUGUCAUUGUGAUGAAUGAAAAUAAGCGUUCCUCCUUUCA